rnacentral:rRNA from 1 species
UACGGGGGGAGCAAGCGUUGUUCGGAUUUACUGGGCGUAAAGGGCGCGUAGGCGGCCAGCACAAGUCAGUUGUGAAAUCUCCGGGCUUAACUCGGAAAGGUCAACUGAUACUGUGCGACUAGAGUGCGGAAGGGGCAACUGGAAUUCUUGGUGUAGCGGUGAAAUGCGUAGAUAUCAAGAGGAACACCUGCGGCGAAGGCGGGUUGCUGGGCCGACACUGACGCUGAGGCGCGAAAGCCAGGGGAGCGAACGGG